CUUAUCUGGUAUCUUUUGAUCAAAUAUGGUGUAAACACGUCACACUACUGACUACUUACCGUCUUGUGAGUUGAGACCAGGACAUAUAUUGUUUAACUAAUUCAAUAAGUACUGUAAAGCUUGUGUAGUGUCGAUUUCAAUUGUUCUUGUGAAAGUAAAACACCCCUGUGAACUCUAUAAUGAGUACCAAUAUCAAAGCAUCACAUAUUACCA
rnacentral:lncRNA from 1 species